rnacentral:rRNA from 1 species
GAAAUGCGAUACGUAAUGCGAAUUGCAGAACUCCGUGAAUCAUCGAAUCUUUGAACGCAUGUUGCGCCCGAGGCUCUGCCGAGGGCACGUCCGUUUGAGCGCCACAA